rnacentral:rRNA from 1 species
AACAAACGCUGGCGGCGUGCCUAAUACAUGCAAGUCGAACGGGCAAAGCUUUCGGGUGAGUACUAGUGGCGCACGGGUGAGGAACGCGUGGAUAAUCUGCCUUAGAGUGGGGGAUAACUAGUCGAAAGAUUAGCUAAUACCGCAUAAGACCACAGGAGCUGCGGCUCAAGGGGUCAAAGGUUUUUCGCUCUAAGAUGAGUCCGCGUAAGAUUAGCUAGUUGGUGAGGUAACGGCUCACCAAGGCGACGAUCUUUAACCGGUCUGAGAGGAUGAUCAGUCACACUGGAACUGAGACACGGCCCAGACUCCUACGGGAGGCAGCAGUAGGGAAUAUUGCACAAUGGAGGAAACUCUGAUGCAGCGACGCCGCGUGAGUGAUGAAGGCCUUCGGGUCGUAAAGCUCUGUCGCAGGGGAAUAACACAAUGAAUGUACCCUGUAAGAAAGGAUCGGCUAACUUCGUGCCAGCAGCCGCAGUAAAAC